GCAUCACGAGGGUUUUACUGUCUCCUCUUUUUGAUCAGUGAAAUUGAUCUUCCCGUGAAGAAGCGGGAAUAUUUUUAUAAGACGAGAAGACCCCAUGGAGCUUUAAACCAAAUAACAACUUAACUACUUAUCCCACAAUAAAUUUAAGCCCUGUAUAAGGUUUUUGGUUGGGGUGACCGCGGAGUAAAGCACAUCCUCCACGACGGAAAGAACAUAAUCUUUAUUUAAGAACCACACUUCUAGAAAUUAGUAUACUAACGUUUACUGACCCGACAAUCGAUCAACGGACCAAGUUACCCUGGGGAUAACAGCGCAAUCUACUUCAAGAGCUCAUAUCGACAAGUAGGCUUACGACCUCGAUGUUGGAUCAGGGUAUCCCGGUGGUGCAGCCGCUACCGAAGGUUCGUUUGUUCAACGAUUAAAACCCUACGUGAUC
rnacentral:rRNA from 1 species